GCGGGCUUAGUUCAAUGGGUAGAACAGCGGUCUCCAAAACCGCGGAUCAGGGUUCGAGUCCCUGGGACCGUGCCA
rnacentral:tRNA from 1 species